rnacentral:rRNA from 1 species
GACGUAGGGGACAAGCGUUAUCCGGAUUUACUGGGCGUAAAGCGCAUGUAGGUGGCUUAUCAAGUUGGACGUGAAAGCUCCCGGCUUAACUGGGAGAGGUCGUACAAAACUGGUAAGCUAGAGGAUGGAAGAGGAGAACGGAAUUCCCGGUGUAGUGGUGGAAUGCGUAGAUAUCGGGAGGAACACCAGUGGCGAAAGUGGCUCUCUGGUUCGUGCCUGACACUGAGAUGCGAAAGCGUGGGGAGCGAACGGG